GAUUUCUGGUUUGGUAUGCCUGACCCGUCAUGGUUACAUGAUUGUGUGUCGGUGCGUGCCUGCCAUCCUUCUAGAGAACAUGAGACCACCCUUCAUUGGGUUGGAUUCAUGUCGCUCUAGAUCUUUUACUUUGAAAAAAUUAGAGUGUUUAAAGCAGGCAGUGUUUGCUAUGAAUACAUUAGCAUGGAAUAAUAAUUUAGGACUUUGGUCUUAUUUUGUUGGUUUCUAGGACUAAAGUAAUGAUUGAUAGGGAUAGUUGGGGGUGCUAGUAUUCAGCGGCCAGAGGUGAAAUUCUUGGAUUCGCUGAAGACUAACUUAUGCGAAAGCAUU
rnacentral:rRNA from 1 species